GGCUGCAGACCCCCUGAGUCUGACGAGAGUCUGGCGGCUUUCUUACAGAGGAGAGGCAGCGGCGGCGGAGAUGGACUCACACCUCUGAUUACUGCUCAUCCUCCAGUCAGCUUUUCUCGCAGAUCUGGAACAGCUACAUUUCACAGACGGGAUUUUGGUUGGUUCUGGACGGACAGACUGCAGCCACCUGAACGCAGGAAGGAAAUAUUUUUAGUUACAUUCCGACGCUUAGUUCUGUGGUCUCACCUGUACUGCCGGUGGAGAGACUUGCUGCGAUCAUAAUGCAUCCGAAUAAGUGCUUACCUGAACUGAUGGCCGAGAAAAACAGCCUGGACCCUUCUUUUGUUCAUGCGGUUCGGCUUCUAGCAGAGGAGAUUGGGAAAUAUGAAGGUGAUGAGCUGAAAAAAGAUGCAGACACAAAGAAAUACCUUGAUAUUAUCAGCAAUAAAAACAUCAAGCUCUCUGAAAGAGUUCUUAUUCCUAUCCAACAGUAUCCAAAGUUUAACUUUGUAGGGAAGCUGCUUGGACCUCGAGGGAACUCUAUGAAAAGAUUACAAGAGGAGACAGGAGUGAAGAUGUCCAUCCUUGGCAAAGGAUCCAUGAGGGAUAAAGAAAAAGAAGAAGAAUUACGGAAAAGUGGGGAGGCCAAAUACGCCCACCUGUGUAAUGAUUUACAUGUUUUAAUUGAAGUCUUCGCUCCACCAGGAGAGGCCUAUUCCCGCAUGAGUCAUGCCUUGGAGGAAAUAAAAAAAUUUCUUGUUCCAGACUACAAUGACGAGAUCAGGCAAGAGCAGCUGAGAGAGUUAUCCCUGCUGAACGGAUCAGACGAGUCGAGCAGAGGGAGGAGCAUACAGGGGAGGAGCCUAAGGACAACAACAACAGCAUCCACAAUGGGCCAGGGAGGUGCAAGCAGAAGAGCAGCAACACCACGAGGGACUGCCUCAGCCACACACAGCAAACUUCCCAAAACUGCUCUGACGAGGGACUUGCAAGCUCCAAGGGCCAGGAGAGCAGCAGCAAACUCCAGAUACAGGCCCCCACUGUUAGCAGUCACACAUGAAUCAUAUGAUGACUAUGGCUAUGAAGACGGAUAUGAUGAAGAAUAUGAAGAUGAGACUUAUGAAGCCUAUGAUGAAAACUACAGCACUCAGACAAAGAGCAUUUCAGAAUACUAUGAACAUGGACACGGAACCAGUGAUGAAUCGUACAACAGCUAUGAAGAAGAGUGGACAAGCCCCAGACCCAUUCUCAAAGCUCCAGCUUUACGCCUGACAAGAGGAGGCUACAGAAAACAUCCCUAUGGUAGAUACUGAAGAUACUGAAAAACAACCAUAGUGGGUUGUCAUCAAAGCACAGAGAAACACUGCAGGGCACAAAGAAGACACAUUCAAGAUGGAAGAGUCCCUUCACACAUUUUCAUCUUCAUCCGAAGAGAAAAUUCUUGGUCAGAGACAGAAGCAGACUUCGGGGGACAAUCUAAUGUGAGACAUGAUGGAAGAUCCACAGGCAUACUUUGUAGGAUGGGCUGAACACCUGGUGGACUAUAAAACGUUCAAGUCUGAUUGUUAUGGGCAUGGAUAAUAAAAUAUCCUUUGGCUAUAUAAUUUUUAUUUCUCCUAAAAUCUACAGAGUUUGUACUUGUAGCUUCAAAGACACAGAAUUUUAUUGUUUUCAUAAAACUUCACUUUGGUUGUACUAAGAUAAAAUAGGGGAAAUUGCCAUAGAACAUGUUAACAUUUUCUCAGUAAAUCUAUUUAUUAUGGGGCUAUUGGCAUAAAAUUCACACCCGAUUCUAGAAAAUAAUUCACACAAGUCUGUAGACUGUAGUUAUGUGAAAUAAAAUUGAAAGACACAGUAUAAGUACUAACAGGAAAAGUAAUUUUAGGCUAACUCCAGAUUUUUUCCAAAGAUGAUGAACAGUUAGUUCAUUGGUGUAAUGGUUAAAUGGAAUGUAAUGUUUGUGAUGAGGACAAUUUUAUGUGAAUAGCCACAUUAGAAAUAUAUUCACUUAGAAAGAUAUUGAUGCAUUGAAUGCUUAUUUUACAGAUUAUUAUUGUUCUCUGUUAUUUUUUAUUUUAUUUUGAAAAUCCUGAUUAUGAAAAUGGUGAGAUGUUUUCAUCUGAUUUCAGACUUGACCGACUGCACCCUGUGUUUUUACCCCGGUUGUUGUAAUAAAUGGUACACUUAGGGCUGCCAACAGGAACGUGUUAGUUCAUUAAGUAAGUUGAGCCCACUGCCAGCAUCCUGGCCAAAUGUCACAGCCAGUUUACAACCCUGCUGGUAAAUCCUCCUGCUGCGCCGUACAGCUUCACUUCUAGUCAUUUCCCUGGGUCUUCAUAAUGAAUGAUGCUCUCUGUACCUCUAAAUAUGGCACAAGGUAAUUAACGUCAGAGAUUGAUAGAAGCAAUACAAGGUCACUACUGUUCAAAUAAAUGUUCGUAACUGGCUUCUGUUUGAGUUCCUGUGUUCCAAUUUAAUUCACAAAACAGCUUUUCAGUCGCCUUGUGAAGCAGGCACAUCAAAACAUGUUUGAUUUGCCUAACUUGCAAUAUGAUCUUCUGCAUCAUAUUUGUUGCAGAAGAUCAUCUAUUUCUUAUUGUUUUGGAUGGAGGGGGAUUUCAUACAUCUACAUAAGUUAUCCACCCCUCUCCCUCACUUUGAUAUGUGCUUAAUUCAUUUGCCUCAUGACACACUCCACACAGCCUGUUAGGCAGUACGGCAUUUAUCUCCCUUGAUAUUACUUGAUCUAAAUCCUAAAAGCACAAAGACACUAAAAGUGGGUCAGGAUUUAGGCAACGUACAUUGCCUCAACACAGUGUGUAGCGUUAACUAACACACUGCAGCUUUCUCCAUCAAGGACAAGUACCUGAGCAAACUCAGCUCUGUUUGGACAGCUGCUCGAUGAGCCAGAAUAGAGAAUGAGGGCUUAUGAUCACCAGAAGUCGAAAAGAGCCUCUUCAGCAUCACGGCACUUCUGAUGAAAUGAUGUCUUUGCAGAGUCAGAAGUCUUUGGUGCGUGUGGGUGAUGUUUGUCUCUUAUUUUUCUUUUUUUUUUUUUUAAAGAAAAAAAACCUGACAUCUAAGUCAGGUGACAGACAAUAAGGAUUUACUGCUUGACUCACAAUUUUCAGGAAGAUAUGAGAGCAAAUGUAGACAGAAUACUGGGUUGCAUUUAAGCUUAGCUUUUGCAAUUGUUUGCUUUUUCAUUUUUGUCCAGAAGCCUCAUUAGAGCUGCUUUACAGAUGUGAUGAGUUCUGACAUAUUGAGAUGCUUUGUGCAAAUGGAAAAACUAAGCAAUAGAAUUGCACAAAUUAUGCUUUUGACUGAUGAAGGGUUGCAGAGCAAAAUGUCUUCACAUGUGCAAUGCUUGUUAAAUAUCCUGUAAGAAAUAUACUAUUUGUAACAAGAUUAAAAAUAUUGUUUUAAAAGUGUUCUGAACAAUACCAACAAUUGACUAAAGGAAAAUAUAAGAUAUUAUUUGAAUGUUAAAUGACUUGUAUUUAAGUUGUUGUUGUUGAAGGAAUCAAAUAAAAAGAAGAUAGAUAUUCAAAUCAUAACUCUUCAUCCUGCUCGUUAAACAGAGCAAAGCUAAAGUCUAUUCAUAUUUGCCAUAAUUUUAUAAUAUAUUGUAGAAUUUAUGGAUGAUAUUUUUUGUUAAUGUAAUAGAACUUGUGAGGAAUGCCAAGAUUUUGUAACAAAACAUCAACACAUAAAGCCAGUUCCUUGGACAUGUGGAUGAUGAAAACUAGUAAGAAAAACAUUUUAAAGCAAGCUAACGUUAGAAUUAGGAAACUUGUGAGAUGUCUCAAAAAGGGUUAUUUUGAUUUCAGAAAUGGGUGUUAGAUAUGAUGGCCUUAAUAGAUGAUAUGCUGCUCAGCACAAAUUAAUCAGAUUCAUAUUUUCACCCUUUAAGUUUUGGUUUCAAAGGACAGAAUAAAGAGUUACUUGGGAACACAUUUUUUAAAGGGAAUAUAUAAUCCUUUUUGGAAGCUUUCCUUUUUGUUGUCAGUUGGAUUUGAGGGAUAUGCAAAAUGACACGAUAGGCAAAAAACAUAAAGGAAGCAGAAAGUUGCAGAAGAGUGAUGGUAUUUUUUUUCAAAUGCCAAAUUUAGAAAAUUUAUAACAUAAUACCCACCCAAGACAGAAAUUUGCGACAGUGACAGGUCUUCAGCAAAAAUAAGAAUUUAUAAAGUUAAGACUUUUAAGGGGAUUUAUCCAACAAGGAGGACAAAGUCAGGAGAAAUGUUGUCUUAGAGCAUCAGGUUGGUGACCUAAUAAGAUGGAACCCCAUGCAGGUAUUUAAAAGCGCUCCAUUGUGAUCCCAAUCUCCCUAUAAUUUGCCACAGUGGAGAAUUAACAUUUGUGACAAAAGUUGCAGAUGGAAGUGCUAAAAGUUCACCCUGACCCACAUUGUUGUUGGAUGGGCACAUUUCCCAGAAACCUUGUCCCAACAACUGUUACCACAAUAGCCCACUUCAUAUUACUAACAAAAGCAUCAGUUUUCUGUGACAUUGUGUACCAUUAGCUUGAAAUGAGAAUGUCACUUCAAGUUAAUGGUACACAUGUUGUGAUUGUAAAGAAAGUUGAAGUAUUGACAAACAAGACUUCAAUUGACAUCAAACACUUUUUUUUUUUUCAAUCAGCUAUGACAUGGAAAAUAAUUUGGUUGCAGUGAAGGUUGGAGGUCAUUAAGCAAAGGAAACUCAUGAAGGGAGUAGUUUUAUAAUUUAGGACAAUGUGCUAGCUUCAGCAGACAUUUUGUACUGAAACUGUACAUAAGUGAAAAACAAACCAAAAGAAAACAGUGGCGUCUCCGGUCUGGCUGUGCUUUUUGUCUUUGCAGUGGCAUGAACUGUGUCUUGUCCACUUCCCUCAGACUUGGUUCACUCUAUUCUUUUAAGCUAAAAGAAUGGAGGAUUAUUUCAUAAUCUUGAGGCCCAACAUGUCUCCUACAGUGUGGACUAAUCUGUUCUCUUCACCUGUUUCCUUCCACUAAUCUGACCUACGUUUCCUGCAUUGAGGAUUUUUGCAGAAAAAGCACUGACUAGAUCCUUUUGUCUUUGACACCAAGACUUUGACACCCAUGGUCACGUUAGCCAAAUAUUUUCCAUCUUUGACAGUUUUUUUUUUUUCUCAUAAACGUUGAUGGAAAAAUCUCUAGGCCAUCUGUUAUUUUGACAGUAUACAAUUCACAACCCAGAGCACUUGGUGCAGACAUACAUUUUCAACUUUACACACAGAGUACAAGUAACUAAUUCAAUCAAAAGAGAUUCCCAUGAGAGCAUCUAAGCAUAAUCUGUGGACACUGACCUAAAUGCAUCUCACUAUCCAGGAGCUGACAGGAUGUUGAAGAAUUAUGGAGGUUUUGGAGCGCAUCUGUGACCACUACAGUAAGACUGCUGCAGCUGAACUACUGGUGCAAAAAGAGCGCAUGCUGUAGGAUUUCCUCCUAAUAAAGCGGGUGUUUGAAGGAUGAGGAAUUUCCUUGUUCAGAGUCUAUUUCAAUUGUAGAAAUGUUUCCUGAUUUAAAAACCUUGGCUGAAGUGAUGCUUAUAAUUCCAGCAGCAGAGUAUGGAGUUAGCCUCCAGAAAAGCAUCAAAAUUCCCAUUAGAAGUAAUUUGUCUGAGGCAGAGACAAAGUUAAAAAAUAUCAUAACAAUAGCCUCUGUAACAAGUUUGAAAUAUUUGAUAAUGAACAAGCAAAUGAGGAAUUCAGCUUCAUGCAGAACAUGAGAAAGUUAUUAGAUUGUGUGUUCAGGCCGCGGAGGGUGAUUGUUCAUAUUUUAGGUGCAUUGUUUCAUUUCAUUCUUUCUACUUACUGGGGGUCAUAGUCAGAGCUUUAGUUAUUUUGGAGAAAAUGUUACAUGCAUUCAUCUGCUUGAUGUGUGAUAGCAUUAAUUGGAUUCUCUGUUAAGGUUGAAUAUUAAAAUGAAUGAAAAUUAAAUACAACAAAUUAUGUAAUUUUCAUUUUAGAAAUUGACAGGUAAGUAGAGUUUACGACAAGAUGUUUUUGAUCCUGCCAGUAAAAAAAAAAAAACUAAACAAAAAUAGUAUUUUUGCAAUUACUGGUGCACUUAUUUGAUAUUCCUGUUAAAAAGCUCCUUUUUAUACUGACUGCUUGUUUUUAAGUAGAGUGUGGCUGCAAAUUUUCUGUCAACAAAAAGUGCUCUUAAAAUUACUUAUUUGCUUUGCGAAAUACUGGAAAGGUCUCUUAUGAUUUAUAGGUUUUGUAGUUUUAUGAUCUCAAACUAUGAUGAAGUUUUCCCUCUAAGGUUUGAAAGUACUCAUUCUUAAAUUUUGGUUUUUAUGUAUGAGAAAUACGUACAGUUCACAUAGGAGUUGUUUGUUAAAUUGCUUGUUUAUUGUCUUCACAUGUACAUGAUAAAGUUAUUGGACUACAUAUAUUGAUUUUAUAAUUUAGGGUAAUGAGAUACAUGAAAGUUGACAUGGUCUUCUACAUAGGCUUUUACAUUUUUAUUUUCAUUCUUCUGUACUGAUUUUCUUCUGUUGUGAAUGCCCUGAAUGUUUUUGUGCUUUUUUGUAAUUUAGAACCACAACCUAUCAAAUUUAAAUUCCAGUCAUGGAACACGGCUGUCUAUUGAAGCUUGCUGCAUAAUAAAUUGUGCAAGGUUAACAUUGUGAAUGAGUUUCUUUUAUUUUCUGAG